UGAGAGUUCAAAAGAUUUAGCAAUU
rnacentral:miRNA from 1 species